CAAUAGCGUAUAUUAAAGUUGUUGCAGUUAAAAAGCUCGUAGUUGGAUUUCUGGGAGGAUGCCGAUGUCCGCCAUAGUGCGUGCGCAGAGGCGUCUUUCCAUCCUUCUGUUAACACUUCUUGGCAUUCAUUUGCUGGUAGUGGGCUCAGAUAUUUUACCUUGAGAAAAUUAGAGUGUUUCAGGCAGGCUAGGCCGGAAUACAUUAGCAUGGAAUAAUGGAAUAGGACUACGGUCUCUUUGUUGGUUUGAGGGACUAUAGUAAUGAUUAAUAGGGAUAGUUGGGGGCAUUAGUAUUUAAUAGUCAGAGGUGGAAUUCUCGGAUUUGUUAAAGACUAACUUAUGCGAAAGCAUUUGCCAAGGAUGUUUNCAUUAA
rnacentral:rRNA from 1 species